ACAACAUGGUUUAUGAUAAUCCUCUAUGAUUGGAUGCUUUUAGAAAUAUAGACUUCAUAACAUUUAUAUAUGAUUAUUAUUUAACACAUUUUCGAUAUAUUGUUGUUUUCAUCCAUUGUUAAUCGAUCAAGAUGCUAUUUGUUCUGUGCAUUAUUUCAUUUUUCAUUCCCAUCUUCCUUUUCGUGCAGGUCAUAUCCGGAACCCACAGACAGAGUCUUUGCUACAGUUUCUGGAACUCCCAUAUCUCCUUGAUAUUACAGCUGAAGCCAACACACCAAAUGUAAAUGAUGGGUUAUUCGAUCGCGAGUAUGUGGAUUUGGAUGAUGUGGAUGAGCUUGAAGAGCUUGCACAAGUGGAUGAUGAAGACACUUAAUAUUCUUUGCAGUUCCACGUGACUAACCUCCCGACAUGCGCUAGCAGUAGAACGUGCGAUUAUCUCCUGUUCGUGUCAAACUGCAUACAAGAGAAAUUGGUAAACAGCUGAAAUUUGAUAGAGGUAGCUGAUAGGUUGCUACAAUUGUUCUUCUAUUUGUCAUGUUCAUCGGCGCCUUGGGCUGCUGCUUCAUGUAAUAUGGACUUUCUCGGAUCUGACCAGUAUGCUUAAACUGCAGCGGGACAGAUGCUUGUUUUACUCUUUACAGUCCAAAACACAUCAUUUAAAUCUAAUUUCUGUAUAACUUGCACGGCUGCUUCGUAUGUGAGCAAUCAGCUGAUGGACAGUGAUAUAGAACAUGAGUCACCGUUCAGGG